CAGUAUAUCUUGCUGGUGCUAUCUUCUUAUUUUCACUACUUGUCAUUUGCCCACGUUCCUGUCAUCUCCUAGGUCCCGUUGUGACAUUUGCAGCGGUACUACCGCCAGGACCCCAGCGGUACUACCGCUAGGGGUAGCGGUACUACCGCCAGGACCCCAACGGUACUACCGCUCAGGGUAGCGGUACUACCGCCAGGACCCC
rnacentral:lncRNA from 1 species